GACAGAGGGUGCAAACGUUGCUCGGAAUUACUGGGCGUAAAGCGCGUGUAGGCGGGAAGAUAAGUCGGGUGUGAAAUCCCUGGGCUCAACCUAGGAACUGCAUUCGAAACUGUCUUUCUGGAGUGAUGGAGAGGAAAGCGGAAUUCCAGGUGUAGCGGUGAAAUGCGUAGAUAUCUGGAGGAACACCGGUGGCGAAGGCGGCAUCCUGGACCGGCAUUGACGCUGAGGCGCGAAAGCUAGGGGAGCAAACGGG
rnacentral:rRNA from 1 species